rnacentral:sRNA from 1 species
ACCCAGGCACAGACCACCUGAUCCGCUGGAGCCCGGUGAGGGCCGGGGCCCCUCGAUUCCCCCUGUGGUCCCGGGGUCCCUCCACGUCAGUGAACACCCAUGCCCGCCCAACCCCCUCCUGAGACUGGGCCGUGGAUCCCCGGAUUUGGCCAUUCAGAGAAGUUCACCUUGGAGGGGGUGUGCGAGAGGGGGGUUCCCUCUGCGGCCGAAGAAGGGUUAGGAGCCUGCCUUCUGAAGACCUAGAGUCCGAGGGACCUCCGAGGCCAUUUAGUUCCCACCCUACCCCAUCCGACAGAUGGGAAAACAGAGGCCGGGAGAUGGGAAGGGCUGGUCUAGCUCAGGGUCACAUUGCGGGGCUGGGAACCCCGUCAGCCUCUCCUUUCUGAGAACCGAGUAUGGAGUCAGGGUCUGGCUGGGGGUAGGGACUCACUGUGGUCGCUCCAGGCUAGGCCUCGGAGCCCGUUCUGGCCUGGCCUCGACCCAUAUCCCCGUAAGCGGCAGGCCUGGACCCAAGAGUGAGCAUGAGUGUGUGCGCGCGCUGGAGCGCAGGACUGGCCGUGAGCGGGCACCGCUCACCCUCCUGGUCUCCGCCCGCACGGUGGGCGGGCGGCGUUCUUGGUAGAGCGGGACCAGUUUCCUCGUAAGCGACCAGAGCCGUUUCGCCAAGGAAGUGCUGCCCCAGUAUUUCAAGCAUAGCAACAUGGCGAGCUUCGUGCGCCAACUCAACAUGUACGGUUUUCGGAAGGUGGUGAGCAUCGAGCAGGGCGGCCUGCUUAGGCCGGAGCGCGACCACGUCGAGUUCCAGCACCCGAGCUUCGUGCGCGGCCG